UACGAAGGGGGCUAGCGUUGCUCGGAAUCACUGGGCGUAAAGCGCACGUAGGCGGCUUUCUAAGUCAGGGGUGAAAUCCUGGAGCUCAACUCCAGAACUGCCUUUGAUACUGGAGAGCUUGAGUCCGGAAGAGGUGAGUGGAACUCCGAGUGUAGAGGUGAAAAUUCGUAGAUAUUCGCAAGAACACCAGUGGCGAAGGCGGCUCACUGGCCCGGUACUGACGCUGAGGUGCGAAAGCGUGGGGAGCAAACGGGG
rnacentral:rRNA from 1 species